AGCGGACAGCCGGGCAGCUUGCUCCCUGAUGUUACCCGGCGGACGGCUGAGUCCCACGUGCCUAACCUGCCUGCAAGACUGGGAUACCUCCCGGAAACCGGGGCUAAUACCCGGAUGCUUGUUUGAACCGCAUGGUUCAAACAUAAAAGGUGGCUUCGGCUACCACUUACAGAUGGACCCGCGGCGCAUUAGUUAGUUGGUGAGGUAACGGCUCACCAAGGCAACGAUGCGUAGCCGACCUGAGAGGGUGAUCGGCCACACUGGGACUGAGACACGGCCCAGACUCCUACGGGAGGCAGCAGUAGGGAAUCUUCCGCAAUGGACGAAAGUCUGACGGAGCAACGCCGCGUGAGUGAUGAAGGUUUUCGGAUCGUAAAGCUCUGUUGUUAGGGAAGAACCAAGUACCGUUCGAAUAGGGCGGUACCUUGACGGUACCUAACCAGAAAGCCACGGCUAACUACGUGCCAGCAGCCGCGGUAAUACGUAGGUGGCAAGCGUUGUCCGGAAUUAUUGGGCGUAAAGGGCUCGCAGGCGGUUUCUUAAGUCUGAUGUGAAAGCCCCCGGCUCAACCGGGGAGGGUCAUUGGAAACUGGGGAACUUGAGUGCAGAAGAGGAGAGUGGAAUUCCACGUGUAGCGGUGAAAUGCGUAGAGAUGUGGAGGAACACCAGUGGCGAAGGCGACUCUCUGGUCUGUAAACUGACGCUGAGGAGCGAAAGCGUGGGGAGCGAACAGGAUUAGAUACCCUGGUAGUCCACGCCGUAAACGAUGAGUGCUAAGUGUUUAGGGGGGUUUUCCCGCCCCUUUAGUGCUGCAGCUAACGCAUUAAGCACUCCCGCCUGGGGAGUACGGUUCGCAAGACUGAAACUCAAAGGAAUUGACGGGGGCCCGCACAAGCGGUGGAGCAUGUGGGUUUAAUUCGAAGCAACGCGAAGAACCUUUACCAGGGUUCUUUGAACAAUCCUCUGACAAUCCUAGAGAUAGGACGUCCCCUUCGGGGGCAGAGUGACAGGUGGUGCAUGGUUGUCGUCAGCUCGUGUCGUGAGAUGUUGGGUUAAGUCCCGCAACGAGCGCAACCCUUGAUCUUAGUUGCCAGCAUUCAGUUGGGCACUCUAAGGUGACUGCCGGUGACAAACCGGAGGAAGGUGGGGAUGACGUCAAAUCAUCAUGCCCCUUAUGACCUGGGCUACACACGUGCUACAAUGGACAGAACAAAGGGCAGCGAAACCGCGAGGUUAAGCCAAUCCCACAAAUCUGUUCUCAGUUCGGAUCGCAGUCUGCAACUCGACUGCGUGAAGCUGGAAUCGCUAGUAAUCGCGGAUCAGCAUGCCGCGGUGAAUACGUUCCCGGGCCUUGUACACACCGCCCGUCACACCACGAGAGUUUGUAACACCCGAAGUCGGUGAGGUAACCUUUUAGGAGCCAGCCGCCGAAGGUGGGACAGAUGAUUGGGGUGAAGUCGUAACAAGGUAACC
rnacentral:rRNA from 1 species